AGAGUUUGAUCAUGGCUCAGGAUGAACGCUGGCGGCGUGCCUAAUACAUGCAAGUCGAGCGAAUGGAUUAAGAGCUUGCUCUUAUGAAGUUAGCGGCGGACGGGUGAGUAACACGUGGGUAACCUGCCCAUAAGACUGGGAUAACUCCGGGAAACCGGGGCUAAUACCGGAUAACAUUUUGAACCGCAUGGUUCGAAAUUGAAAGGCGGCUUCGGCUGUCACUUAUGGAUGGACCCGCGUCGCAUUAGCUAGUUGGUGAGGUAACGGCUCACCAAGGCAACGAUGCGUAGCCGACCUGAGAGGGUGAUCGGCCACACUGGGACUGAGACACGGCCCAGACUCCUACGGGAGGCAGCAGUAGGGAAUCUUCCGCAAUGGACGAAAGUCUGACGGAGCAACGCCGCGUGAGUGAUGAAGGCUUUCGGGUCGUAAAACUCUGUUGUUAGGGAAGAACAAGUGCUAGUUGAAUAAGCUGGCACCUUGACGGUACCUAACCAGAAAGCCACGGCUAACUACGUGCCAGCAGCCGCGGUAAUACGUAGGUGGCAAGCGUUAUCCGGAAUUAUUGGGCGUAAAGCGCGCGCAGGUGGUUUCUUAAGUCUGAUGUGAAAGCCCACGGCUCAACCGUGGAGGGUCAUUGGAAACUGGGAGACUUGAGUGCAGAAGAGGAAAGUGGAAUUCCAUGUGUAGCGGUGAAAUGCGUAGAGAUAUGGAGGAACACCAGUGGCGAAGGCGACUUUCUGGUCUGUAACUGACACUGAGGCGCGAAAGCGUGGNGGAGCAACA
rnacentral:rRNA from 1 species